CCCUUAGAUAUCCUAGGCUGCACGCGCGCUACAAUGGUAUAUAUAAAAGGUUGCUGCUCUGAGAAGACUGGCAAUACCCUGAUAUAUAUCGUAUUUGGAAUAGAUUUUUGUAAUUAUCAAUCUUGAACGAGGAAUUCCUAGUAAAAAUAUUUCAUCAUAAUGUUUUGAUUGUGUCCCUGCCCUUUGUACACACCGCCCGUCGCUCCUACCGAUUGAAUAUUCCGGUGAGAAGAUAGGAGAAAAAUCUUUUGAUUUUUUGAAUAUUUUUGAACCUUGAUAUUUAGAGGAAGGAGAAGUCGUAACA
rnacentral:rRNA from 1 species